rnacentral:rRNA from 3 species
GACCCUAUAGAGUUUAAUAUUUAAUUAAUAAAUUAUUUUUUAGAAUUUAAUAUUAAUUUAUUGAUUAAUUAUUUGAUUGGGGUGAUUGAAAAAUUUAAGUAACUUUUUUUAUAUAAAAACAUUAAUUUAUGAUUGUUUGAUCCAUUAUUUAUGAUUAUAAGAUUAAAUUACCUUAGGGAUAACAGCGUAAUUUUUUUUAAGAGUUCAAAUCGAAAAAAAAGAUUGCGACCUCGAUGUUGGAUUAAAAUUUAUUUUUGGUGUAGAAGCUAAAUUUAUUGGGUCUGUUCGACCUUUAAAAUUUUACAUGAUCUGA